UGGGGAAUUUUGGACAAUGGGCGAAAGCCUGAUCCGGCAAUGCCGCGUGUGUGAAGAAGGCCUUCGGGUUGUAAAGCACUUUUGUCCGGAAAGAAAUCCUUGGCUCUAAUACAGUCGGGGGAUGACGGUACCGGAAGAAUAAGCACCGGCUAACUACGUGCCAGCAGCCGCGGUAAUACGUAGGGUGCAAGCGUUAAUCGGAAUUACUGGGCGUAAAGCGUGCGCAGGCGGUUUGCUAAGACCGAUGUGAAAUCCCCGGGCUCAACCUGGGAACUGCAUUGGUGACUGGCAGGCUAGAGUAUGGCAGAGGGGGGUAGAAUUCCACGUGUAGCAGUGAAAUGCGUAGAGAUGUGGAGGAAUACCGAUGGCGAAGGCAGCCCCCUGGGCCAAUACUGACGCUCAUGCACGAAAGCGUGGGGAGCAAACAGGAUUAGAUACCCUGGUAGUCCACGCCCUAAACGAUGUCAACUAGUUGUUGGGGAUUCAUUUCCUAGUAACGUAGCUAACGCGUGAAGUUGACCGCCUGGGGAGUACGGUCGCAAGAUUAAAACUUAAAUGAAUUGACGGGGUCAUAGCUG
rnacentral:rRNA from 1 species